rnacentral:lncRNA from 1 species
GUGUCGGCCUGGUGCUCCUGACCCAGGCCUCAGGGAUCUGGCGCAGCACCCGGACGGGGGCGCCAAGAUGUCGGACCACAGGGAGAGGCUAAGGAACUCGGCCUGCGCCGUGUCUGAGGCUGCACCCUGCUAUCUCAGGCUUUAAGGGAGAGGUCUUCGCCCAGGACUUUACCGCAGUGAAUUCCAAUUCUGUGAAUUAGCAAACCCCGGCCCACCAAUCCCUUUCUUCCACCCCAGGCUAAAGGAAGAUACUUAUUCUUUAUCCCUCUCCAUUUAUACCAAAGAAAUCAAAGGUGAAGUUCCCCCCAACCCCCUCCGCCCCCCCAUGUUAAAUGCUCGAGAGGAAUCUUCCAGAAGGCAGGGCCAUGCCUCCCAUUUACGCACGCACUCGAGGGCCCCGGUACCCACCAGUAGGGACCAGGAGAUGGAAGAUGUGUGAUCUGCUGGUUGCAGAAUCACCCCCAACCCCUCCCCCAGCUCCUCUUCCGGAAUUCCUCAACUAAAUUUUAUUAAUUGGGCAGGAAGGAGGUCAUGGGUUCAUUUCUUUUUUUGGUCUCCCCACCCCCUAAUUAAAAGAAAGGUUACCUCAGUUUUCACUCCUUAGACAUGGAUGUAGCUACCUUUUUUGUAUGUUGUUAUUUUUUUAAGCAAUCGUGUUGGAUUAGGCGUAUAUUUGGUAUGGAAAGAGUAUGACAUUGCCAUGUGAUUUGCAUACGGGGGGAAAAGCUACUGUGAGUGUGUGUUUUAUUUUUUAAUUUACACUAUAGAGUGAUUUUUUCCCCCCUAAUGUCAAGUUUUUACCUUGCAUGUACUGGAGUAUUUAUUUCAUCUAUUAAAAUGUUAUGUUUCUCAGAUGGCUUUUGGCAAUUAUUGUUGAUUUUCAAUAAUUGUGAUGUUGCAGGCUGCAUGUCAUCUAUGGAAAGGCACCCUGGAAAGUUCUGCCGUAGCAGUGAGAUUAAGGCUCUUCCUACACCUGUGUGGAAUGCCAGCCUUCCCAGGUCAGAGGAUCUGUGUAUGGACGUGCAAAAGGACUGUGUAUCAAGUGAGAGUAUGUAGACAGGUCUAUUCAGACAAGAUCCAGGUGCUCGUGAUUUCAGAAAAAUACUGUAGAGGGUUCCAGACUGUUUAAUACAGGGAGAGGUAUUCUGGAAAGUGUGUUUAAGAACUUUCCAGAGCAUGAUUGCGGGCAAAGGGCUCCUUUUUGUGACCUUGAUCUAAGAUACGCUUUCGUUGACUGUUAUGUUGGAAGAAGGUUUUGUUAAAUGAAAUUCGGAGUUAUUUUGAGGUAGUUGGUCUUUUCUGUAGACAAUUAAAAAAAAU